CUCCCGUAUACUCUUCGUCCCCACCGGAGAAGGUGGGAUGCUUUGGGUUCUACCAGAAGAGGAGGCAGAGGAAGAAGAGCCUUGAUGUUGAGUAUUCGGGAGCCAACGAUGGGGUUAUUGCUGAUCUCAAAUGUGAGGAGAGCAAGCUGAAGAAGACGAUGAAGGAGCAGGAAAAGGUGAAUCGGAAGACUAGGGUUGCAGAAGCAGGCUUCAGCGAGACUGAUUGUGCGCGGUGAGCUGCAGAGUGAAGAUGAUGAAGAGAUCUGUUCAUUUGUAGACAGGUAUUAGUACUAUUUUGUUUGGCUUCUUGGUUGUGCUCCUGGAUUGGGAAAAGCUUAAGAAUAUGG
rnacentral:misc_RNA from 1 species